UUGUAUAAUGGGUCAGCGACUUAUAUUCUGUAGCAAGGUUAACCGUAUAGGGGAGCCGAAGGGAAACCGAGUCUUAACCGGGCGUUAAGUUGCAGGGUAUAGACCCGAAACCCGGUGAUCUAGCCAUGGGCAGGUUGAAGGUUGGGUAACACUAACUGGAGGACCGAACCGACUAAUGUUGAAAAAUUAGCGGAUGACCUGUGGCUGGGGGUGAAAGGCCAAUCAAACCGGGAGAUAGCUGGUUCUCCCCGAAAGCU
rnacentral:rRNA from 2 species